rnacentral:rRNA from 1 species
AUGGACAUGGGUGGCAACAAGAAGGCGGAAGAUCAUCCGGUGGCGGGCGCGGCGUGCUCGGUGAGGAGGAGGAAUAGGAUGGGCAGGGUGGGCGUGGUGCUCAUCGUGUGCCUUUUUACGAUGCCGUUAAUGGUGCUCCUCUUCGGCCGGUGGCCGGGUGCGCUGGCCGUGUGGCAGAACGCCGCCCAGCUGACCGCGAUGGGUGGAGGAUUACUGAACGUCUCUCGUCAGAGCGCCGCCGGCGCAGACGAGCUCUUUGGCAGCCUUCUCUCGCCGGGCUUUGACCGAUGCGCGUGCCUGAGCCGCUACCAGUCCCCGCAUUACUACAAGCGCUCACCGUACGCGCCUUCGCCGCACCUCCUCCAGAAGCUGCGCGACUACGAGGCGCUGCACAGCAGGUGCGGCCCCGGCACGCCGCCGUACGCCAAGUCCGUCGAUCACCUCCGGUCCGGCAGCAGCAGCAGCAAGGAGGACAAGGAGUGCAACUACCUCGUGUGGAUCCCCUACAAUGGCCUCGGCAAUCGGAUGCUGUCGCUGAUCAGCACGUUCCUCUACGCACUCCUCACCGACCGCGUCCUCCUCGUACACUCCACGGACGACUUCACCGACCUAUUCUGCGAGCCGUUCCCCGGUGUGAAUGCGACCUGGGUGCUCCCGCCGGAGUUCCCCGUCGCCGACAUAUCCCGGCUCGGGGUGCGCUCCAACCAGUCGUACGGGAACCUCCUCGCCGGCAAGAAAAUCGACAACGACCCGACCAAGGCGACGGCGCAAUCGGUACCGCCGUACGUGUACCUGCACCUGGCGCACGACCUCCGGCGCUCGGACCGGCUCUUCUACUGCAACGACGACCAGCUCGUACUGGCCAAGGUCAACUGGCUGCUGCUGCAGAGUGACUACUAUUUCGUGCCGGCGCUGUACGACAUGGCCGAAUUCGAAGGUGAGCUCCGGAGGCUGUUCCCGGCCAAGGAGAGCGUGUCGCAUCUUCUCGGCCGUUACCUCCUCCACCCGUCCAACUUCGUUUGGGGCAUGAUCACCGGGUACUACCACACCUACAUGGCCCAGGCGGAGGAGAGGAUCGGCGUGCAGAUCAGGAUUUUCUCCUGGGCAUCCAUCCCCGUCGACGACAUGUACAACCAAAUCAUGGCGUGCUCGCGACAGGAGCACAUACUGCCGGAGGUCGUCAAUGGCGACGCCGCGGCGAGCGCUAGUAGCCAUGGCGGCUCCAAAUCCAAGGCCAUCUUGAUCGCGUCGCUGCAAGCAGACUACUACGACAGGAUCAAGUCGACGUACUACGAGCACGCGGCCAAGGGCGGAGGCAUGGUGGGGGUGUUCCAGCCGAGCCACGAGGAGCAGCAGAUAAUGGGGCAACGGUCGCACAACCAGAAGGCGCUCGCCGAGAUCUUCCUGCUCAGCUUCUCUGACGUGCUGCUCACCACAGGGAUAUCCACGUUCCGCUACAUGAGCAGCAGCCUCGCCGGACUGCGGCCGACGAUGCUAAUGAUCCCGAAAGACGGCAAAGUGCCUGAGCCGCCGUGCGUGCGCGCCGUGUCCAUGGAGCCGUGCUUCCACAUGACGCCCGAUGUUGAGUGCCAGGGGAAGGCAGUGAACAAGGAAGAGCUGUCUCACCACGUCAAGAAGUGUGAGGAUGUGGGCAAAGGAAUUAAACGGAAUAAAGGUAUCAAAUUAUUUGAUUAA